GGCGGCGGCGGCGGCGGCGGCGGGGACGACGGCACGCGGCGAGGGACACGCGCUUUCGGAACGCGAACUCUCUCCGCGCCGGAACAGCGUUCCCGCGGCCACGCAGCCGCAGCGCAGGCCCAGGGAGCCUCACCCACCCUCCUCUGGGCACCGCGACCCGGGAGACGCUUGGGCCCGGAAUUUGAAUGGCGGAUUCCCUGGUUUAACCCCAUUUAUUUUAUAGACAGGGACAGAAAUUCCCUGUUCAAAGUCACAUAGCUAGAGCUUGGCAGUGACUCAGAGCAGGGAUCUUCUCACCAGACUCUCAACUCUGGGAGAGCAGCAAUCUGCUUGCAUGGUUUUCGGUUGCGUCCCCACGUUAUUGGACAGAGCCCUCAGAAAAUGCUUGAUCGAAUAGGGCGACUGGCUCCCAGGAUCCGGCGCUUUCCACUUUCGAAAGUCCGUCACCCUAGUUGCUUUUGCCUGUGAUGCUUGUAAAAUACGAUUUAAGAUUCGUUUUUAUGCUGUGUGAACAGACUCCUUUCUUUAUAACCAAACUAAGUGACUUUUUUUUCUGUCUAUGUAGUUUAUUUUAUGGCAGGGUUUUCGGAUACUCUACUCAGGCUUACCCGGCGUAAUGCUAGACACGGAGGUGGCACUGGAUAAUAAACUCUAAAUGAUUUUUCUAACAUUGCCUUAAUUUUCUCUUGACCCUCUCCAUCUGGAGGAAUUUGUUGCUACAUGCUUAAUGUUUGGUACACGAUGAGAAAUAUAUAUAUAUAUACACACACACACACGCGCGUGCGAAUAUGCGUCACAUCCCUAAUGCUUGGCACACAGUGGGAAAUAUAAAACACAUAAAUUAAUGAGGAGGCACUAUCUGUGCAUAAUGUACCUUUUUUCUAUCUUAAAUAUUACGUAAUGAACAUUUAAAGGGAAUGAAAUGUGCCUAAUACCAAUCUCCCUUUCGCGUAGGAGAAGUCACGUGGUCUCUUGCAGCAGUUAAGAGUUGCUGGCAAAUUUCCUGGGUUUGAAUCUGGGCUCCACAUAAUAGCUCUGUGAUCCUAAGAUGCCUUCCUUCUUUUCCUGCCAGGCCCACUCUGGUGGAGUGGAAAAGUCUAAUGCUUUGAUACCAGGAUACCCUCUCCCUUGUUGGCUUUGAGGAAGCAAGCAGCUGUGUUGCAAAGGCCUAUGGAGUAAGGAACUGAGGGUGGUCUCCAGCCAACAACCAGAAAGAAACUGAGGCCCUCAGUCCGGCAACUCACAAGGAACUGAAGGCUGCCAACAACCAUGUAAUUUCCAGGAUGUAAGCCAUACAGCCAGAAGGCAGGGUGCAGAGGAGAGGCGGCAGAGAUGGUACACUCAUACAGAAGCUUCUCCUG